AUACAACCUGCCAGGGGAGAUACCAUGAUCAUGAAGGUGGUAUUCCAGGGCAAGGCUUAUCCAUUGCACUCUGGUUGUGCUGACCCCUGAGAUUUCUCCAAAUGUAGGAAAUUCGACUGCAUAAUUUGUGGUAGUGAAGGAACACGUUCGCCCUCUC